rnacentral:rRNA from 1 species
GACGAACGCUGGCGGCGUGCUUAACACAUGCAAGUCGAGCGGUAAGGCUCCUUCGGGAGUACACGAGCGGCGAACGGGUGAGUAACACGUGAGCAAUCUGCCCUUCACUUCGGGAUAACUCCGGGAAACCGGAGCUAAUACCGAAUACGACCACUUCAGGCAUCUGAUGGGGGUGGAAAGUUCCGGCGGUGAAGGAUGAGCUCGCGGCCUAUCAGCUUGUUGGUGGGGUAACGGCCCACCAAGGCAACGACGGGUAGCCGGCCUGAGAGGGUGACCGGCCACACUGGGACUGAGACACGGCCCAGACUCCUACGGGAGGCAGCAGUGGGGAAUAUUGGACAAUGGGCGGAAGCCUGAUCCAGCAGCGCCGCGUGAGGGAUGACUGCCUUCGGGUUGUAAACCUCUUUCAGCAGGGACGAAGCGCAAGUGACGGUACCUGCAGAAGAAGCACCGGCCAACUACGUGCCAGCCGCCGCAGUAAAAC